CCAACAGGGAUUGCCUCAGUAACGGCGAGUGAAGCGGCAACAGCUCAAAUUUGAAAUCUGGCCCUAGGCCCGAGUUGUAAUUUGCAGAGGAUGCUUUUGGUGCGGUGCCUUCCAAGUUCCCUAGAACGGGACGCCAGAGAGGGUGAGAGCCCCGUACAGUUGGACACCAAGCCUUUGUAAAGCUCCUUCGACGAGUCGAGUAGUUUGGGAAUGCUGCUCAAAAUGGGAGGUAUAUUUCUUCUAAAGCUAAAUACCGGCCAGAGACCGAUAGCGCACAAGUAGAGUGAUCGAAAGAUGAAAAGCACUUUGAAAAGAGGGUUAAACAGCACGUGAAAUUGUUAAAAGGGAAGCGCUUGUGACCAGACUUGCGUCCGGUGAAUCACCCAGCUCUCGCGGCUGGGGCACUUCGCCGGCUCAGGCCAGCAUCAGCUCGCUGUCGGGGACAAAAGCUUCAGGAACGUAGCUCUCUUCGGGGAGUGUUAUAGCCUGUUGCACAAUACCCUUCGGCGGGCUGAGGUACGCGCUCCGCAAGGAUGCUGGCAUAAUGGUCAUCAGCGACCCGUCUUGAAACACGGACCAAGGAGUCAACCUUAUGUGCGAGUGUUCGGGUGUCAAACCCCUACGCGUAAUGAAAGUGAACGCAGGUGAGAGCUUCGGCGCAUCAUCGACCGAUCCUGAUGUUCUCGGAUGGAUUUGAGUAAGAGCAUAUAGGGUUGGACCCGAAAGAAGGUGAACUAUGCGUGUAUAGGGUGAAGCCAGAGGAAACUCUGGUGGAGGCUCGCAGCGGUUCUGACGUGCAAAUCGAUCGUCAAAUAUGCGCAUGGGGGCGAAAGACUAAUCGA
rnacentral:rRNA from 1 species